rnacentral:rRNA from 1 species
GUAGUAGCAAAUACUCUAGCGAGACCCUGGAGGACUGAUGUGGAGAAGGGUUUCGUGUGAACAGCCGUUGCACACGAGUCAGUCGAUCCUAACCCCUAGGAGAAAUCCAAAGUAUGGGGCGGUUAGCAGCCCCGUCGGGGGAAAGGGAAUCCGGUCCCCAUUCCGGAACCCGGUAGCGGAACCGUCUCACGUCGGGUUCCUCGCCUACGGGCGGGGAGUUCGUCGGGGUAACCCAAACGGACCCGGAGAAGCCGUCGGGAGGUCGGGGAAGAGUUGUCUUUUCUGUUUGAGCGCUCGGGUUCCCUGGAAUUCUCUAGCAGAGAGAGAGGGAAUGGAGCGCGUAGAGCACCGCAGUUGCGGCGGUGUCCCGACAUGCCCCUCGGACCUUGAAAAUCCGGGGAAGGGCCACGUGGAGGUGUCGCACCGGAUCGUACCCAUAUCCGCAGCAGGUCUCCAAGGUGAAGAGCCUCUAGUCGAUAGAUUAAUGUAGGUAAGGGAAGUCGGCAAAUCGGAUCCGUAACUUCGGGAUAAGGAU